GAAAUGCGAUAAGUAAUGCGAAUUGCAGAAUUCAGUGAAUCAUCGAAUCUUUGAACGCACAUUGCGCCCGCUAGUAUUCUGGCGGGCAUGCCUGUCUGAGCGUCAUUUCAACCCUCAUUCCCAGCUUCGUGUCGGGGAUGGUGUUGGGGAUCGGCCUCCCGGUUGCGGGCGGCCGGCCCCGAAAUAGAGUGGCGACCACGCCGUAGCCUCCUCUGCGUAGUAGUGAAAACCUCGCAGGCGGAGAGCGGUGCGGCCUGCCGUAAAACCCCCAACUCUUCUAAGGUUGACCUCAGAGCAGGUAGGAAUACCCGCUGAACUUAAGC
rnacentral:misc_RNA from 1 species